rfam:Hordeum vulgare subsp. vulgare, WGS project CAJW01000000 data, contig: morex_contig_49585
AUGAUACGCACUCCAUCCCAAAAUUCUUGUCUUGGAUUUAUGUAGAUAUGAAUGUAUCUAGUCAUGUUUUAGUAUUUAGAUACAUUCAUUUCUAUACAAACCUAAGACAAGAAUUUUGGGACGGAGGGAGUAUAUA